rnacentral:rRNA from 1 species
GACGAACGCUGGCGGCGCGCUUAACACAUGCAAGUCGAGCGAGAACCAGGGCUUCGGCCCUGGGGACAGCGGCGAACGGGUGAGUAACACGUGGGUAAUCUGCCCUCGGCACCGGAAUAGCCCGGGGAAACCCGGAUUAAUGCCGGAUGGCCCCUUCACCUCGCGAGGUGUCGGGAAAAGGUAGCUUCGGCCUCUGGCCGAGGAUGAGCCCGCGGCGGAUUAGCUUGUUGGCGGGGUAACGGCCCACCAAGGCGACGAUCCGUAGCUGGUCUGAGAGGACGAUCAGCCACACUGGGACUGAGACACGGCCCAGACUCCUACGGGAGGCAGCAGUGGGGAAUCUUGCGCAAUGGGCGAAAGCCUGACGCAGCGACGCCGCGUGAGGGAAGAAGGCCUUCGGGUUGUAAACCUCUUUCAGGAGGGACGAAGCUACUCGGGUGAAUAGCCCAGAGGGUGACGGUACCUCCAGAAGAAGCCCCGGCUAACUACGUGCCAGCCGCCGCCGUAA